GUUGUUUUCAGUAAGUGGCAGGGAGUUUAAAAAGAGAACGGAUAGCUACAUUCCAAAUCGCAAAAAAUGUAAAAAAUCAUAUGGGCAUGAAUAACAUUCAGCCACAAAUAUUUAUGAAGCUUCUGCUGUGUGCCAGACAAAAUGGCUGGGUAUUAGGACUAUGACAGUGAAGAUAACACAGCCCUUGCUCUCAAGGAUUUACAGUUGAUGAGAAAGGCAGACAAAUCCAGGAGGCAUUAUAAUCCACCAUGACAGCUGCUGAGCUCUUCUGUGGGAAUUUGCAGCAGUGGCACCCACAUAUGUGGGCAUUUGGAGAAAGUGGGGAAAGCUUCCAGGAGGAAAUGAUGUCUUAACUGGGACAGAAGCAAGAAGAGUCAGCCAGAUGGAAACGAACAUCAUGCGCCUCUCAGCAGGAUGCGCUGAGGAAGACAGGACUUGUGUAGCCUUCUGUAGAAGUGCAUAAUCUGAACGGGAUCACAAGGAGCAAAAUCAGACAUGCCCAGAUGAGGGGCAUCUACACACUCUGCAUUCUUCAAAAAUGGCUCAGCGCGAAGGACAAAGCAAGGCUGAGGAGCUAUUCCAGAUUAAAGGAGACUCAUGUGACCUGGCAACUGCACGCAACAUGUGAUUCUGGGUUGGAUCCCAGAACAGGGAAGAACAAUUCUUUAAAAGGCAUUAUAAUGGAGUCAGUUGGGGAAAUUUGAGUUGGAUUGUGUAUUUAAUCAUGGUAUUGUAUUAGUGGUACAUUUCAUGAAUAUGAUCAUUUUACUGUGGUUACAUGAGUGAACCUCCUUGUUCUUAGAGGUAAAGGGUCAAAAUACCCAUAACUUAACCCUUAAAUAGGUUAGCAAAAAUGAUAACUAUAAUGAUGGUAUAUAGAGAGUAAGAGAAAGAAAAAAGAGAGGGAGAUAAAGCAAACGUGGCAAAAUAUUAACAAUCAGUGAAUCCAAAGAGUAUAUGGAGUUCAUUGUAUUAUUCUUGCAACUUUUCUGUAAGGUUAAAAUUCUUUCAAAAUAAGUUUUUAAAAAAUGUUCAUGUUAAAGUCAGGGGUAAAACCAUGGAGACAGGUGUAGCGUAAUAAAAGCAACGGCUAACACACACAGUGCUUUGCAAUGUGCCAGGCAGUUUAUACGUAUUACAUUGUGUAAUCAUCAAAGCCACCCUAUCGGGUAGGUAUUAUUAUUGUCAUCCCCAUUUUACAGAUGGGGAAACUUUGGCUCCAAGAAGCUGAAUAUCUUAAAUCAGCAAGGUCUUAUAGCCAGUAAGUGGAAGAGCU
rnacentral:lncRNA from 1 species